UACAGAGGGCGCGAGCGUUAAUCGGAUUAACUGGGCGUAAAGGGCGCGUAGGCGGUUAUAUGAGUGUGAUGUGAAAGCCCUGGGCUCAACCUAGGAAGUGCAUCGCAAACGAUAUGACUGGAGUAUUGGAGAGGGUAGCGGAAUUUCCGGUGUAGCGGUGAAAUGCGUAGAGAUCGGAAGGAACGUCAAUGGCGAAGGCAGCUACCUGGCCAAAUACUGACGCUGAGGCGCGAAAGCGUGGGGAGCAAACAGG
rnacentral:rRNA from 1 species